rnacentral:pre_miRNA from 2 species
AUAUGAAUCAUCUGGUGAUCUUGUUAAAAUGCAGAUUCUGAUUCAGUGGACCUGGGGCAGGGCUGAAAUUCUACAGUUCCUACAAGCUCCCAGGUGUUGCUGAU